GAAGACUCCAACUUGGCAGCAAGAUCAUCAAUGAUUUCCCUUUCCUCCUUGCUGCGGCAGAGAAGUUUAGAACAGGUUUUGGGUGGUAUUUAGGGUGUAGAAUGGAUGGGGAAUGGUAGUGGAGGGGUGGGGGGGGUGGGGGGGAAAGGUUUAGGGUUGAUGGGGGUACGGCUAGGGAUGAUUUUUGGGCAGAAUUUUGGGACUUUGGUGAUGGGAAGGUGCGGCAGAAUGCAAGGGCAGAUUUCUGGCGUGAAUGAUUGUGUAUGAGAGGUGGUGAUCUUGAUCUAGGGGUUAUAAUGAGUAUAUAUAGGCAUCCAAAACCCUAGGGUAAUUAGAUUAGGGUUUCUAGAAGCCCAAAUCCACCAGAAAUUAGGUUAAAACAAUCAGAUUUUUAGUGGGAAUA
rnacentral:lncRNA from 1 species